GUGCCUAAUACAUGCAAGUAGAACGCUGAAGACUUUAGCUUGCUAAAGUUGGAAGAGUUGCGAACGGGUGAGUAACGCGUAGGUAACCUGCCUACUAGCGGGGGAUAACUAUUGGAAACGAUAGCUAAUACCGCAUAACAGCAUUUAACACAUGUUAGAUGCUUGAAAGGAGCAAUUGCUUCACUAGUAGAUGGACCUGCGUUGUAUUAGCUAGUUGGUGAGGUAACGGCUCACCAAGGCGACGAUACAUAGCCGACCUGAGAGGGUGAUCGGCCACACUGGGACUGAGACACGGCCCAGACUCCUACGGGAGGCAGCAGUAGGGAAUCUUCGGCAAUGGGGGCAACCCUGACCGAGCAACGCCGCGUGAGUGAAGAAGGUUUUCGGAUCGUAAAGCUCUGUUGUAAGAGAAGAACGUGUGUGAGAGUGGAAAGUUCACACAGUGACGGUAACUUACCAGAAAGGGACGGCUAACUACGUGCCAGCAGCCGCGGUAAUACGUAGGUCCCGAGCGUNGUCCGGAUUUAUUGGGCGUAAAGCGAGCGCAGGCGGUUUAAUAAGUCUGAAGUUAAAGGCAGUGGCUUAACCAUUGUUCGCUUUGGAAACUGUUAGACUUGAGUGCAGAAGGGGAGAGUGGAAUUCCAUGUGUA
rnacentral:rRNA from 1 species